ACUGCGUACCUAUAGAAUAUCUACUGUUACUUAAAUUAAUUAGUUUGUACAGAUGUUAUUAAAUAUGAUUUCAUAUUAAACUUGUGUAAAUUCAUAGAAUUUCGGAGUAUAAAAUGGCGAUUUAUGUCCGCGAAUACUAUACGCAAAUUAACAUCGUUGAGUCGAACGUUCUAAGAAUUCAAAUAAAAUGAAGCAAUUUUUGAUCGUGGUACUUCUGGCCGUGGCGACGGUGGCGUAUGCAGUCCCCGUGGACUCAGAAAGCGCGAGCAAUGAAGUGGCCGAGGUUGCAGGCGCCGGUGUGGCCAGCGGAGUACAGACCGCUUUGAAACCGGAAAACUUCGAAAAGCUCGUUCAAGGCUUUCCCGGAAUAAUCGAUAACUUUAUUUCGUUGAUUGUGGGCUUCUUCAAACAGGCAUUCGGCCCGAAAACCGAGUCUUAAGUGUUUUGUUUUAAUAAACAUCUGUGAAUGUUA